rnacentral:rRNA from 1 species
GAAACACGGACCAAGGAGUCUAACAGGUACGCGAGUCGAGGAGUCGUCUAAACUCUCGGGCGUAGCGAAAGCAAAACGAGUCGUCUUCGGACGAUUCAAGCCGAUCCGGCGUCUUUUCUCGCGAGAAGCCCGGCGCAGGCUAAGGGCCCGCCGCUGUCGGCCACGGUUCUCGAUCGCCUAGCGCGGUCUCCCGCGGUCGGUUGGCGGGCACCCCGAGCGUGCACGUUAGUACCCGAAAGAUGGUGAUCUAUGCUUGGCUAGAAUGAAGCCAGAGGAAACUCUGGUGGAGGUUCGUAGCGAUUCUGACGUGCAAAUCGAUCGUCGGAGC